ACGAACGCUGGCGGCAGGCCUAACACAUGCAAGUCGAACGCCCCGCAAGGGGAGUGGCAGACGGGUGAGUAACACGUGGGAACAUACCCUUCGGUUCGGAAUAACUCAGGGAAACUUGUGCUAAUACCGGAUACGUCCGCAAGGAGAAAGAUUUAUCGCCGAAGGAUUGGCCCGCGUCUGAUUAGCUUGUUGGUGAGGUAAUGGCUCACCAAGGCGACGAUCAGUAGCUGGUCUGAGAGGAUGAUCAGCCACAUUGGGACUGAGACACGGCCCAAACUCCUACGGGAGGCAGCAGUGGGGAAUAUUGGACAAUGGGCGAAAGCCUGAUCCAGCCAUGCCGCGUGAGUGAUGAAGGCCUUAGGGUUGUAAAGCUCUUUUACCUGGGAAGAUAAUGACGGUACCAGGAGAAUAAGCCCCGGCUAACUUCGU
rnacentral:rRNA from 1 species